rnacentral:lncRNA from 10 species
GUCUUCAAUGCCAGUUUAUUAAGUUACAUCUAUUAAAUAUAUUAACACAUACAACAUUUCAUUUACAGAGAUUAGAAUUCAUACACUAGUACCCAAAGACAUGGGAUGCAUACCAGUUAAGUACGUAUCCAACAACAUACAAUAUGCAUUUUACCUUGCGGUUGAUGUUUUAACAUAAAACAUAAAAUCAAUGAAAGCACAUGGGGUUUGUCACUAAAACCACAUAAACACCUACACUUCUUCAAUCUGUACACCCCUGAAACAAAAAAAGGGGAACAUUACAUGCUUUAAUGACUUUAAGAAUAAAAUCAUUUGAUGAAGUUCAGCUACUUUAUUUACUUGGCACUGUGUGUCUUGUUCCUCCUGAAUGUAUACACUGUGAGAGUAGGACUUGCCUGUCGCAUUCCUUCUCAGCUCUCCAGUAUCCAGGCAAGUGCUGCCACGUGACAGAUGCUCAAAACAAAAAUGAUUUACGAAUGAAGUUGAAAGACUGCUGGGCUUAUUGUUAAGAUAUCUAAAUUCUACUUUUAGCAUCCAACUAGCUACUGUCUGGCACUGGCCACGAAGGGUGACAGGGUGUGGAUGUGAUGGCUCCCUCUGAGCCUGGGUUUCUUCAUCUUUGAAAUGAUAUAACUUGGAAUAAACUCCGCAGAUACUGUCAUUUCUAAAAUUCCAUGACAUUUCUCUAUUGGCCAAGAUCUUAGGGGUAUUUUGUGUUGGACACUCUCUGGACAAAUGGGAAAUGACAGCUAAUUACUGAACCCUUGAGAAGGCCUGCCAGGUUUGUAAUGAUCAACUAGAACACAUGGAAGUCAAUGAACAAAAGGCCACAUAAUUAUAGAUUUGAAAAAGACCUCAGAGAUCCUUUGGCUUAAUCUCUCCCCCAACCUCUGUGAAGAAUAGCUUCUACAAAAACCCUUGUGACAAGCCCUUUGUUUGAGUAUCUCCAGGGACUGAGAAAUAGCAUCCUAGAAAAAUUCUAUUUUGGAGUAGAAAAUUCCUUUGGGGAUCAAGCCAGAGAGGGCAACCUUGUAACUGCAACUCUGUAGCCCUAGCUCUCUUCUCUGGGGAGCUACAGUAGAAGUCUCCUCCCACUUCCAUGUUGUCCUACAGGUGUUUGAAAAUACUUGUCCCAUCUUCCUUCAAAUCACUAAAAUGAACUCUAUUUGCGAUGAGUAGAGAGGUUAGAAGAGUCCAGGAUUAUGGUUCAGGAAGACAGCUUCCUAGCUCUAGAUCAGCCCUUAACUCACUAUGUGGCCCUGGGCAAGUAACUUCUUCCUUCCAGGCUGGUGUGGUAUUUUCAUCUUAAAAUGGGGUGAUGGAAGGGGUGGAGGCAAGUGUGUCUCAGAGCUGGGGAAGUUGUAAAUGUGGUUGUUAGAGGGUGACGGGGCAUGGAGGUGAUGGCUCUGAUCCACAUUCUCUCACCACUGGUGCAAAAGGAUUCAAGGGUAAUUCCUCCAUCUGAGAUGCCCUUUCCCUGUGGUCAUCUGGGGCCCGCCCAGUUUCUUCCAGGCUUCACUUCCUCUAUGAAGACUCUGGUGAGCCAGGUGGAGGUGACCACACUCCUCUGUGCUCCCACUGAGUCUGUGCUGACUGUUUUGAGAAAGGGAAGGCAAGAAAAAGGCCUGGCUUAAGUUAGCCUAGCAGAGGUUAGAAAAUAUAUUUAGAGCCUUAACCUCCAAACUGAGAAAUCAGAAAUUAAUUUUUAUUUAAUUAUAACUCAAUAAAUAUUAAUGAAGUGCUCCUGCUACACUGGACACUUUGCUCAGGAGCCUCUCAAAUGCCUCUCUGCCUCUAUAGUCUACUGGAAACCAGAGUGAGAGUGAUUUUGGUGCCAAAUUUCCUCUCAGACUCAUCCAUGAGGUCUCCCAGGAUAGGAAGCAUUUAUAAUACGGGCCAAGGGUCACCAGUCAUAUAAUACCGAAAUGCUCAGAUGGCACAGAAUGCAUGAAGUUAACAUCUUUCAUUCUCAUGAGCUCAUUUGCUCCUUGGAAACAAAUGGGCAGAUUCCUGCUUUGCAGACAAGUCAACAAAGGCUAGGAGAACAGAGCUGCCUCUCCUGCCCUUGACAUAUUAGCGUAGGAAAAUCAUACGGACUAGAGGAUAUGAACCCACUGAAGCACAGAAGGGACCUCCGCAAUGACCAGCCUGUCCUCCAGGGAAGGUCUUGGCUAGGCUCAUUAGCUAAUCCCAUAUGUAAAUCCCUUUGAAUAUUUUAAGGGAAAAUACCCACAUAAUACUCUGCAUAUAAAGUUGCAAAUCAAACCUCAAAGAUCUAGGUUAACUUCUUCAGAUUUGGUGAUUGACUUCUUUUUUCCCUUCCCCCAUGGAAUAAGUCCAUUGUCUCUCAGCAUCAAACAAGUUGGCAGUGUAGUUGAUCUAGUUAACCAGGUAUCUGUCUUCAGGUUUCUUCAGGGAACUAAUCAGCUGGCUAUCUUCCAGUCAGCUGGCUAUCUUCCACAGUCAGUAGAGUGCCAGAAAUCUGAUGUAACAGUUUCAGAUGAUAUUUUUUAAAGGCUUGGAGUUAUUAUUUUAUUUUUUUUUUUUUGGACAGAGUUUUGCUCUUGU